ACAUGCUGGUAGUAGGGAAGCGAAAGCGGACCGACCUUUCGGGGAGCCAGCACAGGUGCUGCAUGGCUGUCGUCAGCUCGUGUCGUGAGAUGUUGGGUUAAGUCCCGCAACGAGCGCAACCCUCGUGGCUAGUUACAAGUGUCUAGCCAGACUGCCGGUUUCAAACCGGAGGAAGGUGGGGAUGACGUCAAGUCAGCAUGGUCUUUAUGUCCAGGGCUACACACACGCUACAAUGGUCGGUACAAUGGGUUGCCACACCGCGAGGUGCAGCUAAUCCUCAAAGCCGGUCUCAGUUCAGAUUGCAGUCUGCAACUCGACUGCAUGAAGGCGGAGUUGCUAGUAACCGCGCGUCAGCCAUAGUGCGGUGAAUGCGUUCCCGGGCCUUGUACACACCGCCCGUCACAUCAUGGGAGUCGGCAACACCUGAAGUCGGUGACCUAACCGCAAGGGAGGAACUGCCUAAGGUGGGGUCGGUGACUGGGAUG
rnacentral:rRNA from 1 species